GUGAUGCCCUUAGAUGUCCUGGGCUGCACGCGCGCUACACUGAUGAAGUCAGCGAGUCUAUAACCUUGUUCGGAAGGACAUUGGGGCCCUCCCCGCCAGCGUCCGGCACCGGCCCGCGCCCCCUCGGGGGUUUGUGCGGCCGGGGCCGGGGGCCCGGCGGCCCGGGGGCCCCUCUCUGUGGGUAAUCUUGUGAAACUUCAUCGUGCUGGGGAUAGAUCAUUGCAAUUAUUGAUCUUCAACGAGGAAUUCCUAGUAAGCGCGAGUCAUCAGCUCGCGUUGAUUACGUCCCUGCCCUU
rnacentral:rRNA from 1 species